rnacentral:rRNA from 1 species
GACGAACGCUGGCGGCGUGCCUAAUACAUGCAAGUCGAACGAGAGCACCCGGUGCUUGCGCUGGUCAAUCUAGUGGCGAACGGGUGAGUAACACGUGGGUAACCUGCCCAUCAGAGGGGGAUAACAUCCGGAAACGGGUGCUAAAACCGCAUAGGUCUUCGAACCGCAUGGUUUGAAGAGGAAAAGAGGCGCAAGCUUCUGCUGAUGGAUGGACCCGCGGUGCAUUAGCUAGUUGGUGAGGUAACGGCUCACCAAGGCCGUGAUGCAUAGCCGACCUGAGAGGGUGAUCGGCCACAUUGGGACUGAGACACGGCCCAAACUCCUACGGGAGGCAGCAGUAGGGAAUCUUCCGCAAUGGACGCAAGUCUGACGGAGCAACGCCGCGUGAGUGAAGAAGGUUUUCGGAUCGUAAAACUCUGUUGUUAGAGAAGAACAAGUGCUAGAGUAACUGUUAGCGCCUUGACGGUAUCUAAACAGAAAGCCACGGCUAACUACGUG